GGAGAAAAGCUCAGAGAUAAAGCAUCCCGACAGUAAGUGUCGGGAAGGUCGCUGGUUCGACUCCAGUUUUCGGCU
rnacentral:tRNA from 1 species